CCAUUAACAAAAAAGAAAGAAAGAAAUGAAAGAAAGCCUCUGGAUAGAGACUCAGAAUGGCGACCUUUGUUAUUGAGAGUGGGUCAGGUGCAGUUCUCUUAUUUUGCCAGAGAAAAAUCUCAAAAUGCCAACAUGAUCUUAAUCAUUUAAUUGAAAAUCAACAUACAAACACAGAUCUUUGAUCCAAAACAAUCUUCAAAUCAUAUCUUCAGUAAAAAAGAAACUUGUACAAAAGGUUUGUAGAUUUGUGUUUGCUGUUUAACUCUGGCUGCGGAAAAGACUCAAGCAUGAAACAUCAGGAGGAAUGUGAGCUUACUGCACAUAAUAAGACUGCAUUCAAAGUUGGAAUUUGCACUGAAAAUUGUUAUAGGAAAUGCUCAUACUAUUGCAAUUCAUCAUUCAAAAGGUUUCACGAUUUAUUGUAGCCCUGUAUUAAGCAAAAAUAAAAAUGGUCUAUUGAUUAUU